rnacentral:lncRNA from 1 species
GAUGGGUUGGAUCUUUACCUCGGAUUAGCUUUGAUCUCACCUCGAAUGUGCUUGAUCUUUACUUCAUAUUAGCUUUGAUCUCACCUCAAAUAGGCUUGAUCUUUUCCUCAGAUUGGCCUUGACUUCACCUUAGAUGAGUUGCAUCUUUACUCUGGAUUGGUCUUGAUCUUCACUUUGAAUGGGUUGCAUCUUUACCUCGGAUUGGCCUUGACUUCACCUUGGAUGAGUUUGAUCUUUAUCUCUGAUUGGCCUUGACUUCACCUC